AUGUGCUAAAUACCCAGCGAUCAGGUAGUGAUAAGAGAAGAGUAUUCCCAUUUUCUUGGGGUUUACAGCCUCUGGGGAGAGAGGCCAGAAAAACAGCCACAACACAACAAACUGUUACAAAACCAUUACAGAUCAGAUCUACACAGGAUGUAAACAGAGAGUAAUGGGCCUGGCAUGUGCUUCGUUUUAGCUGGGGAGGUCAGGAUUAGGAGGAGGCUUGAAGACUGAAACCCUAAGGAGGAAAAGGAGUCAGUCAUGCAGGAGAAGAGAGAAGUCAACAGGAAGAUCACAGGAUCCAGAGCCCAAUGAGCUACCCUAGCUCGGAAAUUUAUGAGCUGACUGGAUCCCCUGCGAAUGGAUGUGUCCAGUCCGUGACUAGGAACUCAUCCUACUUAAGCACUGUCUCUGUCAAGAGCUUGUUCCCAACACUGCACAACAUCAGUGAGUUGAUCCACGCUUCUUCAGGUGUCUUUUGAUAGGACAUGCUACAAUCACCACUCUGUUGGCUGCCUGCUGUCAUCUGAUUGUACUGGAAAGCCAGCCUUGUGUGUGGAGAAAACAGCACCUCCAUGGAGGACUGCCAGCCAUGGGGCACAGUGCUCAGUGAGUGGGCAGCUCCCAGGAAGACCCAGCUGAAUGAACCCUGAGCUGAGUGAAUGGAGGCGAAGUGGCUGAUCUAUUAGACUACAACCUUUUUAGUGCCCGAUAAUCGUAUUUGUUCUUCAAAAUUUAUGGAAGUAUUUUAAGAAACAUAGCCACGCUGAAUGAGUCUCAGGAACUUUGAUGAAUUAUUUCUAUUGCCUAGAAAACAUUAAAAUACAGAAUUUUC